AUUGAACGCUGGCGGCAGGCCUAACACAUGCGAGUCGAGCGGAUGAAGGGAGCUUGCUCCUGGAUUCAGCGGCGGACGGGUGAGUAAUGCCUAGGAAUCUGCCUGGUAGUGGGGGAUAACGUCCGGAAACGGGCGCUAAUACCGCAUACGUCCUGAGGGAGAAAGUGGGGGAUCUUCGGACCUCACGCUAUCAGAUGAGCCUAGGUCGGAUUAGCUAGUUGGUGGGGUAAAGGCCUACCAAGGCGACGAUCCGUAACUGGUCUGAGAGGAUGAUCAGUCAAGUGGGAAGCGAGGCACGCGCCGGAAGUCAGGGGGAGGGGGGAGUGGGAAUGAUGGGACGAGGGGCAGCCGCCGUAUCCGGCCAUGCGGUGUGUGUGAAGGGUUGCUUGGGAUUGAAAAGCUGUUUAGGGGGGGAGGAGGGGUAGUAAGUUAAUCCCUUGCUUUUUCGACGUAACCAACAGAAUAAGCACCGGCCAUCUGCGUGCCGGCAGCGGGGUUAAUAGAACGAAAGAGCCCACGUAGACC
rnacentral:rRNA from 1 species